UAGUACGAGAGGACCGGGAUGGACAUACCGCUGGUGUACCAGUUGUGCCGCCAGGCGCAUCGCUGGGUAGCUAUGUAUGGAUGAGAUAAACGCUGAAAGCAUCUAAGUGUGAAACUCGCCUCAAGAUGAGAUUUCCCAUUCCUAUAUGGAAGUAAGACCCCUGAGAGAUGAUCAGGUAGAUAGGCUGGAAGUAGCAGCGCCGCGAGGCGUGGAGCGGACCAGUACUAAUCGGUCGAGGACUUAACCAAG
rnacentral:rRNA from 1 species